AACGUAGGAGACAAACGUUAUCCGGAGUUACUGGGCGUAAAGGGCGUGUAGGUGGUUUUAUAAGUCUGGCGUGAAAUUUCUCGGCUUAACCGAGGCAGGUCGUCGGAUACUAUGAGACUAGAGGACGGUAGAGGCGUGUGGAAUUCCGGGUGUAGUGGUGAAAUGCGUAGAGAUCCGGAGGAACACCAGUGGCGAAGGCGACACGCUGGGCCGUACCUGACACUGAUGCGCGACAGCAUGGGGAGCAAACAGGA
rnacentral:rRNA from 1 species